rnacentral:rRNA from 1 species
UACGUAGGGGCCUAGCGUUGUCCGGAUUUAUUGGGCGUAAAGAGCUCGUAGGCGGUUUCUUAAGUCCGUUGUGAAAGCCCUGGGCUCAACCUGGGAACUGCGAUGGAUACUGAGGAGCUGGAGUACGGUAGAGGAAGGUGGAAUUCCCGGUGUAGCGGUGAAAUGCGUAGAGAUCGGGAGGAACAUCAGUGGCGAAGGCGGCCUUCUGGACCAGUACUGACGCUGAGGCACGAAAGCGUGGGGAGCAAACAGG